ACUAAUCGAUAGUAUCCAAAAAAAUUCAGCAAGAAAUUAGGAAAUCUUGUAUUGUUCAACCGUUUCUUCUCCAAUUUCUCCAAUACUUUUGGAAACCAAAUUAGUGAUUGAAAUUUUAAAACACGUCAAAUCCCUAAACAUUUCUCCAUUCCAAAAUCAGCACUCAUUGAUUAGCAAGAUCGGAUUUAAUUCCAUGGCAAUCCAUUAAUUCUAGCUCCUUAUUCUCUUUUUGUAACCCUAGGUUUUUGAUUUUCUGAAACAUCAUAUGGAAAUCUAUAUCGUUCUCAAUAUUAUAUGCUCGAGUGUUGGAUGUGCGUACAUUUGGGGUUCUCGGUAUAUCAGUUUUGAUUGUGCACUUUCUUCUUCAACUUCACUGGUAACGAAAGUGUGUAUUCAUGAGGAUGGGGAACUUUCGGCCGCCUUGGCACUGUUCUGAGCUCGAUAGCCUUUUUUUGACCAAAAUUGAAUUUAAUUCUACAGAUAGGAGAGAAAGGGUCAAAAUCAUCCAAAUAUCAUCUGGUGUUACCACGGUCUCCCUGAUUCUGGUAACAUUCGUAUUUUCAAAGUAAGUAAUCCAAGUAUCAUCUGCCAUCAGGUAAAUAUUUUUCUUAAGUUGUGUGUCUGAUAAUGAUUUCUAUGUUGCUGUUGUGUGGUUUAUUUGUCUAUUGCUAUUGUGUAUAACAAAGACAUCUUAAAUCUGCACUAGCUUAUAAUUAAUCUUAUUGUUAUACCAAGCUUCAUCAAGAUAAGCAAUGAUACUACCAGGUUUCUGCAAUAUAGAUACAACUUUAGAGUUUUAUGGUUGAAAUAAUGAAAAAUAUAAAUAAAUGUAGUUGAAAGUGACUAUACCUUUUCGAUGAGAUCUAGAACAUCUUGGGUAUCAACAAAUUGAAUGUAACUCCAAUUGAUAGCCUCUUUUUUUAUUCUUUUUGCUCUAUCUUAAAGGCAUGUCGUUGUUCAAACAACUCAUGCUAAUAGUUAGUUAUUUUAAAAAUAAUUAUCUGGUUGAAAUGUUGCUGCAAAUUCUCAUUUGUAAAGUUAAUCACAAAUUGCUCAAAGUUGUGUGUAUCAUGAAAUAGAGACAACAAUAACAAAUGUGACUUUUUAAAUCUUUUCAAAGUCAAAAAUGGUAAUACAUUAUUUGAAACUAGGUUACUAACCUGAACACUUGAAAAAAUAAAAUAACCUUUAUAAAUUCUAUUUUCUGUUUUAAAAGCUUCAUAUCAUUAUAUUGUUUUUUUUUUCAGUUUAAGUCGGCCAAAUUAACAUAAGAAAAGAUAAAUUAUGCCAUUUUUUCCGAGAGUUUCAUAUUAGUAAGAGGUUCUUUUUUAUAGUAAUUCAGAGGUCCACAUGACAAAAAAGAAAAAAAAAUGUCAAAAUGACCAAAUUGACCAAUUAUAGCAAUGUACUUUGAAAGGCAAAAAAAAUGAAACUACACGCUAUUAUCAAUUAAGAAAUGUAUGUAGUUGUAAUGGGUAAAUUAAUAAAAAAAAAUCAAAAAUAUUUAUUAGUUUUUAAGAUUUCGAAUUAUAAAUAUUUUUUUUUCUCACUAGAAAUGUCAAAGAUUGAUAAACAAUUAAACAUGAUGGUGGUCAAGGUAAAGUUAAAUAGUCACUUAAAUAGGCUGGUGAAUCUUGGUGUUAAAGGUUAGAAAUCCAUUAAACCAAAAAAUGAUAUUUUAGGCAUAAGCAUUUACUUCUUAUUAUUUUUUUUUAAAUUAUGUAUUAAGAAUUUUUGACAGAUUAUACCACAUGUAGUAUGUUUGGCUAAAACAACGGAUAAGAAGAUACUUGGUAGCCAUUCAGGUAUAAAAAGUUGAUAUUUUGUUGGAGUUUUUUAUUGUUAUUAUUAUUUAUUUUGUCAUGUUAAUUACUAAAUAAUUAUAUAUUUUAUCAAAACUUAGACGGCGUCAGAGAUUUUUACCUUUUUGUAAUUGGUAAUCACAUUCCCUUGACACCAUAUUGAUAGAUAUGAAACCCGAGAAUUACAAAUACAUUUCCUAUAUUAUAUUCCCUUGACAACAUAAUGUUUUUUUCCUUUUGUAAUUGGUAUCUUGAAAUUUGUUUUCUUAGUACUAAAGACCUAAACAAACAAAAAAUAUUUAUCUUUCCGAGUAGUAAUGAAUUAAUAGUAGUGUUGUUUGCUCAAUAUUUAUCACUAAUUUAAAUUUUUAUAUCUGGUUGGUUGCAGGUUAGACAUAAAUUACCUGUAUGAUGUGGCAUAGGUUAACGGGUUUUUGUACAGUCAUUGUCCAUGUGAAAAAUAUAUGUAUUUUGCUGUUUGGAGAAAUUCAUUCUGUAAGUAAUUAUUUCUCCUUUCAUCAUAUAUGUUUAAUGUACAUGUAUUAACAUUGGAGGGUUGACUGUCAUGUGUUAUUAAAGUAUUUCUGUUAACUAUAGGACCACAGUAAGAAAACAUCAUGCGUUUGAAUUUUAAAAAUGGGGAACAUUUGAAUGUUCAUGCCCAGUUGUGACUUCUUGCAUAUUCGUGAUUUAGCUAAGGUUUUAUAAGGCCAUUAAGAAAUUUAGGAGUUGUGGACAAUCGGACACAUUAGGAGUAAGUUGAAAUAUUGUAUUGAUAGUUGUGAAACUCAAAUAGAGCACUCAAUGAUUUAGACAAUUAAAAAUUUAGACAAAAAAACUUAUAUCUUAUUAAUUUAAUAAAAUUUUAUAUA